GACGAACGCUGGCGGCGUGCCUAAUACAUGCAAGUUGAGCGCUGAAGGUUGGUACUUGUACCAACUGGAUGAGCAGCGAACGGGUGAGUAACGCGUGGGGAAUCUGCCUUUGAGCGGGGGACAACAUUUGGAAACGAAUGCUAAUACCGCAUAAAAACUUUAAACACAAGUUUUAAGUUUUAAAGAUGCAAUUGCAUCACUCAAAGAUGAUCCCGCGUUGUAUUAGCUAGUUGGUGAGGUAAAGGCUCACCAAGGCGAUGAUACAUAGCCGACCUGAGAGGGUGAUCGGCCACAAUGGGACUGAGACACGGCCCAAACUCCUACGGGAGGCAGCAGUAGGGAAUCUUCGGCAAUGGACGAAAGGCUGACCGAGCAACGCCGCGUGAGUGAAGAAGGGUUUCGGAUCGUAAAACUCUGUUGGUAGAGAAGAACGUUGGUGAGAGUGGAAAGCUCAUCAAGUGACGGUAACUACCCAGAAAGGGACGGCUAACUACGUG
rnacentral:rRNA from 1 species